rnacentral:sRNA from 1 species
CUGAAAUAUCAUUAUCAUUAUCUGAUGGCUCGC